UACGUAGGGUGCAAGCGUUGUCCGGAUUUAUUGGGCGUAAAGAGCGUGUAGGCGGCCAGGUAGGUCUGCUGUGAAAACUCGAGGCUCAACCUCGAGACGUCGGCGGAAACCAUCUGGCUAGAGUCCGGAAGAGGAGAGUGGAAUUCCUGGUGUAGAGGUGAAAUUCGUAGAUAUUAGGAAGAACACCAGUGGCGAAGGCGGCUCACUGGUCCGGUACUGACGCUGAGGUGCGAAAGCGUGGGGAGCAAACAGG
rnacentral:rRNA from 1 species